GAUGUACAUGAUCACCCCGAUGGCCCAGCAGUCCACUGGUCUGCCAUAUCUCUGUCUGCCAACCACCUCUGGAGCUAUAAGAGAGAAAGAAGAAAAAGCCUGAAUUAUGAUAAUGGGUCAAAUAAAUAUGCCCAACAUGAUGAAAAGGUACUCUGGUGUGCCACAUGGCUCUUUGAUGAGACCAUUUUCCAGUUUGGCCAGAUGAAAGUCACUGAUUACAAUCUUUGAGUUCUUCAGACGGUUAUAGUAGACCAGAUUUUCCAGCUGACGAGGUGUUUAAUCAACCUCUGUCUCCUGACACAAGUCUGAGAUUGCAUUCUGGUGCAAUACCAUGUGGUGACCAUUAGAUGGAAGUAAAGCCCCAAGUCACCUUUAGGUUUCUGUGAACGAUGUGGAGAGAGUGCAGGUAAGCCACAGCC